rnacentral:rRNA from 1 species
UACGUAGGGUGCAAGCGUUAAUCGGAAUUACUGGGCGUAAAGCGUGCGCAGGCGGUUAUAUAAGCCAGAUGUGAAAUCCCCGGGCUCAACCUGGGAACUGCAUUUGUGACUGUAUAGCUAGAGUACGGUAGAGGGGGAUGGAAUUCCGCGUGUAGCAGUGAAAUGCGUAGAUAUGCGGAGGAACACCGAUGGCGAAGGCAAUCCCCUGGACCUGUACUGACGCUCAUGCACGAAAGCGUGGGGAGCAAACAGG